rnacentral:rRNA from 1 species
ACGUGCGGUCCUAUAAUCAUUGAGCGACGUGGAGUGUCCUAUUUAGCGCGAGGUGGUAAAGUGGUACUCCUUAAGAUGGAUAAUCGGAACCGGCUAUACCGGAUGUUGUUGACCGCAUGUUCAUACUAAAAGUGGUUCGGUACCAUUACAGAUGACCGCGGCGCAUUAGCUAGUUGUGAGUAACGGCUCACCAAGCGACGAUGGUAUCCGACCUGAGAGGUGAUCGCCCACACUGGACUGGACACGGCCCUACUCUACGGGAGGCAGCAGUAGGGAUCUUCCGCAAUGGACGAAAUCUGACGGAGCAACGCCGCGUGAGUGAUGAAGUUUUCGGAUCUAAAGCUCUGUUGUUAGGGAAGAACAAUGCCGUUCAAAUAGGCGCACUUGACGUACGGACCAGAACCAGAAAGCCACGGCUAACUACGUGCCAGCAGCCGCGGUAAUACGUAGUGGCAAGCGUUGUCCGGAAUUAUGGGCGUAAAGGGCGCAGCGGAAUUCUAAGUCUGAGUGAAAGCCCCCGGCUCACCGGGGAGGUCAUUGGAAACUGGGGAACUUGAUGCAGAAGAGAUGGAAUCCACUGUACGGUGAAAUGCGUAAGAUUGAGAACACAUGGCAAAGCAUCUCUGGUCGUACUGACAACUGGGACACAGAUAAACCGGUAUCACCCUAACAUAUCUAUUAGAGGGUUUCCGCCCUUUAAUGCUGCAGUUAACGCAUUAAGCACUCCGCCUGGGGAGUACGGCCGCAAGGCUGAAACUCAAAGGAAUUGACGGGCGCCCGCACAAGCGGUGGAGCAUGUGGUUUAAUUCGAAUAGCCUUACCAGGUCUUGACAUCCUCUGACAACCCUAGAGAUAGGGCUUCUCCUUCGGGAGCAGAGUGACAGGUGGUGCAUGGUUGUCGUCAGCUCGUGUCGUGAGUGAACCGCAUGCUUCCGCAUAAAUUCCAGCAGCCGCCCAGUAUCGUAAGUAUUGGUUUUGAGCAGUACCUCGAUGUCGCUAUAUCCAUCAGUAAGCCUCUCAAAUUCUAGCCGAACUUACUUUAUAAUUCCGUGUGGGCCAGUCUGGUUUAUGUAUCUCGAAGUGCAGGCUACGAGUCUCAGUAUAGUUCUCUAUAUCGUUUCCUUGCGAUAUCUUCGAUAUUAGAGGGCGAUAUUAGCGUCGAUCGCUUGGGACAGUAUUAUAGCCGCAGCAGAGCCCGAAUGCGUACCGAUCAGUCAGCGUCCUGCAGAU